UUGUUUAUAAUUUGAAUGGAGUUGGAAGAGCUUCCCUUCGUUUGCCGCUAGGAGCGUUGUUCCAACUCCAUACAAAUUUGAGUUA
rnacentral:pre_miRNA from 1 species